AGAGUUUGAUCCUGGCUCAGAACGAACGCUGGCGGCAGGCCUAACACAUGCAAGUCGAACGCCCCGCAAGGGGAGUGGCAGACGGGUGAGUAACACGUGGGAACAUACCCUUCGGUUCGGAAUAGCUCAGGGAAACUUGAAUUAAUACCGAAUACGUCCGCGAGGAGAAAGAUUUAUCGCCGAAGGAUUGGCCCGCGUCU
rnacentral:rRNA from 1 species